AACGAACGCUGGCGGCAGGCUUAACACAUGCAAGCCGAACGCAUCUUUCGGGGUGAGUGGCAGACGGGUGAGUAACGCGUGGGAACGUGCCCUUCAGUUCGGGAUAACCCAGGGAAACUUGGGCUAAUACCGGAUACGUGCGAGAGCAGAAAGAUUUAUCGCUGAAGGAUCGGCCCGCGUCUGAUUAGCUAGUUGGUGGGGUAAUGGCCCACCAAGGCGACGAUCAGUAGCUGGUCUGAGGGGAUGAUCAGCCACAUUGGGACUGAGACACGGCCCAAACUCCUACGGGAGGCAGCAGUGGGGAAUAUUGGACAAUGGGCGCAAGCCUGAUCCAGCCAUGCCGCGUGAGUGAUGAAGGCCUUAGGGUUGUAAAGCUCUUUCGUCCGGGACGAUAAUGACGGUACCGGAAGAAGAAGCCCCGGCUAACUUCGUGCCAGCCGCCGCGGUAA
rnacentral:rRNA from 1 species